UAACAAAUUCUUCAAAAUAUUAUGAAAUUUUGAAGUAUUUUUUUAGCAAAGCAGAAUAAUAUAAAUACUCGAGAAAUGAAUAGUAAAAUCAUUCACAGUUCCAACAAUUACGACUUCGAGUUCACUGCAUUUAGUGCUAAAUUACUGUACUUUUUUCAAAACAAAAAACAUAAAAAUGGGUUUCGGUUAUUUGAUGAACGUUGCAGUUAUGGCGGUGUUCGCUGUUUCUCAGUUGGCUAUGCAUGCUGAAGCAUCAUUAGGAGGAGGCACUGGAGGUAGCGGCGGUCUAGGCAAGAAGUGAUACUACUUAGAGAAAUUAUAUAACCUGUUCAAUUUUGGGCCAAUUCAGAUUCAGAAUCCAUCAAAGUCAACCACAUAUUCAAAUCGCAAUUGUCACUUUACAUACUAAGUAAUAUUCACAAAUUUAUUUAUGUCCACAAGUUAUAGACAACCGAGUGUUUAGAAUUUCAAUCCCAUAUGGUAGUACCUAUGUACUUGAGUAGGUGCAUAUCUGUCUAUUUUAUCCGUUAUCUAGAAUUUUAUAUUCAUUUAUUCGCAUAAUAAAGUAAUCCAGCAUACGCAGA